rnacentral:tRNA from 1 species
CCUGGUGGCUCAGAGGGUAAAGCAUCUGCCUGCGAUGCAGGAGACCUGGGUUUGAUCCCUGAGUCAGGA